CGGCGGACGGGUGAGUAACACGUGGAUAACCUACCUACAAGACUGGGAUAACUUCGGGAAACCGGAGCUAAUACCGGAUAAUAUUUUGAACCGCAUGGUUCAAAAGUGAAAGACGGUCUUGCUGUCACUUAUAGAUGGAUCCGCGCUGCAUUAGCUAGUUGGUAAGGUAACGGCUUACCAAGGCAACGAUGCAUAGCCGACCUGAGAGGGUGAUCGGCCACACUGGAACUGAGACACGGUCCGG
rnacentral:rRNA from 1 species